rnacentral:rRNA from 1 species
UACGUAGGGUGCAAGCGUUGUCCGGAAUUAUUGGGCGUAAAGAGCUCGUAGGCGGUCUGUCACGUCGGCUGUGAAAACCCGAGGCUCAACCUCGGGCCUGCAGUCGAUACGGGCAGACUAGAGUUCGGUAGGGGAGACUGGAAUUCCUGGUGUAGCGGUGAAAUGCGCAGAUAUCAGGAGGAACACCCGAGGCGAAGGCGGUUCUCUGGGACGGUACUGACGCUGAGACGCGAAAGCGUGGGGAGCGAACAGG